GAGAGUUUGAUCCUGGCUCAGAACGAACGCUGGCGGCAUGCCUAACACAUGCAAGUCGAACGAAGCCUUCGGGCUUAGUGGCGCACGG
rnacentral:rRNA from 1 species